rnacentral:rRNA from 1 species
AUUGAACGCUAGCGGGAUGCUUUACACAUGCAAGUCGAACGAGUGGCGGACGGGUGAGUAAUAUAUCGGAACGUGCCCAGUAGUGGGGGAUAACUACUCGAAAGAGUGGCUAAUACCUCCUACUAUUGGAGCGGCCGAUAUCGGUUUAGCUAGUUGGUGGGGUAAAGGCUCCCCAAGGCAACGAUCCGUAGCUGUUUUGAGAGGACGACCAGCGACACUGGGACUGAGACACGGCCCAGACUCCUACGGGAGGCAGCAGUGGGGAAUUUUGGACAAUGGGUGAAACCCUGAUCCAGCCAUCCCGCGUGUAUGAGAAGGCCUUCGGGUUGUAAAGUACUUUUGGCGGAGAAGCGGUAUCUGCAGAAUAAGCACCGGCUAACUACGUGCCAGCAGCCGCGGAAAUAC